UGUAAUCUGACGGGUCUAAAUUACACCAUUUAGUUUCGGUUUUGUUAUGCUUAGUAAUGGCGUUUAAAAUCAGGACACAUGUGGUGCUAUACAAGUGAUAAUUUAAACGUUUGGAGGAUAUGUUUUUCUAUAAAAUGGCGGACGACGAAGGUACUGAUGUUGACAUUACUCACGACGUUUUUCUGAUUCACGUCAACGAACCGACGGAAGACCGGGAUUUGGCCUUGGGGAAAGUUAAGCCUUUACUGGAAAGUCGAGGUAUAAAGGUUAUGACUGACCAUGAUGAUUUCCGAGGUGGCAGAAGCGUGUUGGACAACAUUGCUUUGGCUGUCAGAAGUUGCCGAAAGUGUCUGAUCGUACUCACAGAACAUUCCCACAACAGUCCCUGGUGUUCACUGGAACUACUGCUGGCAAUGGAGAAGUCCCACAGACAGAACAUUAUGUCUCUUGUUGUCCUGCAGAUAGGAAAUACAAUUGAAUGGGAAAACCAGCUGGCGUUGGAGAUGCUGAAUACGGUUCCACGUGUAGACAUUCAACACAACAAUGAUAUCGACAGCAAAGUGGAUGAACUUGUCGAGAAAAUCAAAGAAAGGAAAUGCAUAGAAGAACUUUUGCCUGCUGGAAACAUUGCGCAUGCUCAAGUUUGGUCUCACUAUACAGGUUUAUUGCAGUACUUGCUUCCAGAAAUUGCAGACCUUAUUCAGCAAACAGAGCUGUAUAAGAAAAAUCCGUCCAGGUUUUCACUGAAGUUGCAUGAACUAGUCCCAGAGAACUGUCGCUGUCCAAAAGUAAUAGAGGACAUCCCCGAGAAGAGAUCAGAGAAAAGAAUAAUUGAAAUGGAUAAAAAAUUACCAGAACUAAUCUACAAGAGAGCUGGGAACACUAGGACAGUGGUGAUGACGAUCUAUUGUGUAAAGGACAGGGACGGCGAGGAGUACUACUGUGUAGCGGAAUAUCCUGGCGUUUUGGCGGGAAUCCAGAAGAUGAUCGAGGAAACCUCUACCAGAUUACAGGAAUGCGACAGACGUGUUCAGGUUGGACGGUUUUACUACACGUUGGUCGGUUUGCUGCAUCACGAGAGUUUGGAAAACACACUGAAUAAAGCAAAUGUCAUCAUGUACAAUGAAAAUAGGCCAGGGUUUGUUCUUGCUGACGAGAUGAUAAAAUCUAUUAAACUGGACCUAAAUAUGGAAGCUUUCAGAGAUGGAAAGAUAGAGAGACCAUUGGACAGACUAAGCUCAAAAGAACCUGCUCAUUAUGAGAAAGAAGUGUUUUUGUUUUACCAUCCGUCUGGCGCAAGCAAGACAACAAGAGAUGAUAUUGUAAAGCGCCUCGAAGAAGAAGGUGUAAAGUUUUAUGAGGAUGGACAGAUCGGGCAUAGGCAGUUUGAUACCAUGGAAUGCGCCGUAGACCAGUGUUACUGGACGAUUGCAAUCAUGACCAAAGAAGCCCUUUAUGACAAAACAUUUACUUUGCAACUUCUGAGCAUUUUAGAUGCGUUUUUAAGAGAUAAGAAAAUUAGAUUGAUUCCAGUGUUGGUAGAUACAGAUGUCGGCGAUAUCCCUGGUGCCAUUCGAUUUGUGACGUAUGUCACUGUUGAUGCAAAGAAAAGAUAUUUAGAACAACUCAUCUGCACAAUACGAGGGAAUGACAUCCCCUUUGAGAAAGAGGCAUUGAUACCGGCUGGGGACGUGGCAUAUGGACUGGCGUGGACUUAUGUGCUCAAUUAUCUGCAGUAUGUCUUGAUGGAUCCGGAGCAGGAGGGAGUUAAUGGAUUAACAGAAUCUAUUGAGAACGUGUUAAUUAAACACAACAGAGAUCCCUCCUUAUGCAAGAAAAAGGUGUACAUCAUUGUUCCUGAUUCCUGUGAGUGUCAUGCCUCCCUACAUGAUGCAGAUCCACGAAUUACUAAAUUGGAGACUAUACACCCAGUGUAUGUCAGCCUUGCGGGAACCAAAAGGCCUUAUCACUUCGAUAUGUACACAUUUGAAGAAAAUGGAAAAGAAUAUUUUUUCGUUGGCCAGUAUGCAGCUCCGGUAACCUGUCUGAAUGACAUGUGGAACCUGAAGAUUGCAGGAUUAAAUCAAAAAGACAUGGUUAAGCAAGCCAGCAAAUUCUGCCAUGAAAUUGGGAUUAUAUUGAGGCAGAAGUUAGUUGAGAAAUUUGCUCACAGGUGCGAGGUUGUAUCUUAUGAUGGUAAGUUUAUAUUUCUUACCAAGCUAAAAAGUUUUUAAUGAAAAUAACGCAUUUCAAUGACUAUAUAAUUUAUUAAUGUUAAUUGCACAAUGUUAAAUUUUAAAAUCAAGAAACUGAAAUAUUUCAAAAAAUGUUAAGACGUUAGUAAGGAAAUGUAUAUUACUCUUGUCAAAUUGAGCAAUCCAUGGAUACUAAGAAGGGGAUAGGUUGAUUGAUUGAUGUUUUACGCCACACUCAACAAUUUUUCAGUUAUCUGGUGGCGCGCAGUUUUUAUUGGUGGAAGAGAGAACCCAGAUACAAUGUGCCUGGGAAGAGACCACCGACCUUCCGCAAGUAAACUGGGAAACUUUCUCACUUACCGGCGUGAGCGGGAUUCGAACCCGCGCCGAGCAGAGAUUCGAAGCACUCGCUGACAGGGGAGAUGAAACGGAGAAUAGAAUCCCAAUAGAUAAUGGAUUCAUUUUGAUUGAUAUCAAUGGAAUGAUAUACAUCUACGUCCUAUAGCAAAAUGUAUUAUUAUGUAUGACAAUGAUAAGUGCAAACAGGAUCCAGUGAAGGUUAAAACCCGCGCUAAAUGACCAAAUAUAUAAACGCUUACUUAUUGUUGUUCAAUGUUUUUUUUUAAGACCCCUAGUAUAGUUGGACACUCAAGAGAAAAAUACAUGCAUCUGGAUCUGUUCAUAAUAUAUAUAUUUAUCAUUGUUUCAUAUUUGUAUUUUUUUCUCUCAAAGAUACCGUUGUAGUGUGUUUAUUUUGUUUUAGUUCUUGGCAGCAACAUGCUUCUGAGAAUACGCUUCAAGUAGUAUUCAUCAUAUACUGAUAGGAGGCUUUAAUUUUACCAUAAUAUUUCAUUUCUUCUCUGAAAGAUUCCAUUUUUGCAUGUUUAUUUUUUUUUUUAUAUUUUUAUUAUAGUGGCAGCAAUAUUUGCUUUUGAGAAUAUGUUCCGAGUAUUAUUCACGAUAUGCUGAUAGGGGUUUUAAUCAAACCGUUCAAGGGUGUAUAUAUAUAUAUAUAUAUAUAUAUAUAUAUAUAUAUAUAUAUAUAUAGUAUUCUCUCUCUCUCUCUCUCUCUCUCUCUCUCUCUCUCUCUCUCUCUCUCUCUGUGUGUGUGUGUGUCCUGAUGUUACUGUAUACACUGUACAUGUACAAAUAUAGCAAACAGCUUUGUAUGGUUUCGUGCGAUCUGGUUACAUUGAAAUAUUUCGAUAGUUAGUGGUAUAUUUCUGAUUUUCAUAAUUUAAAAAAAAGUGUCUGAAGCAUUUCACACAAUUGGUUGUAAAUAUAAAUUGUUCUUUCGUGAAAACAUGGAAGAAAAUCGUUGUAGUUGAGAUUUAAUUGUGUUUUUACUUCAACUGGGAGGUUGUGAGUUUAAGUCCCACUCGUGCCAUGACCACGUCAAACAUAUGUGGUGAUUGCUCCGUCGCCAACGCUUUGCAUUUAAAAAUGAGAAUCACAUGUCUUUCGGAUAUGCCCUUAAAAACGGAGGUCCCGUGUCGCCACAAGCGUUGGUGUGUAAAAGAACCCUCACUGCUACGCCCCUGAGCGCUAAGCAUAUGUCUGAAUUUGUGGUACUUCACCUACAGCUGGUAACGUCUCAAUAUGAGUGAAACAUUCUUGACGAGACGUAAAACAAACAACCUACCAACCAAUCAAAUGUCAACAAAUGAAAUAUAUUCGUGUCAUUAUACAGUUUUUCAAAAGAAUUGUUUGAAGCAUGCAUGUAGUAACAUUACGAAUUCAAGAAAUGUGCAGACGUUAGAUUUUCAAAUGGUGAAACUGCACAGAUAUCCAUUCUUUUACAAAAAGGGACCAACUAUAGAAAUUGGCACGGUUGUUUUUAUGUUUUUCUGCAUAAUUUGAUAUGAUUUUGAUUUUUUAAAGAUUGUCUUUGAUAAUUACAUGUACAUGUAUUCGAUUUGUGUUUUACAAAUAAAAUGGUUAGAAAUAGUA